UACGUAGGGUGCAAGCGUUGUCCGGAAUUAUUGGGCGUAAAGAGCUCGUAGGCGGUUUGUUGCGUCGGCUGUGAAAUCCCCGAGGCUCAACCUCGGGUCUGCAGUCGAUACGAGCAAACUAGAGUGUUGCAGGGGAGACUGGAAUUCCUGGUGUAGCGGUGAAAUUCGUAGAUAUCGGGAGGAACACCGGUGGCGAAGGCGGCGACCUGGGUCGAUACUGACGCUGAUGCGCGAAAGCGUGGGGAGCAAACAGGAUUA
rnacentral:rRNA from 1 species